rnacentral:rRNA from 1 species
CCCUUAGAUGUUCUGGGCCGCACGCGCGCUACACUGAUGCAUUCAACGAGUCUAAAACCUGGUCUGAUAGGGCUGGGUAAUCUUUUGAAUGUGCAUCGUGAUUGGGAUAGAUGAUUGCAAUUCUUCAUCAUCAACGAGGAAUGCCUAGUAAACGCAAGUCAUCAGCUUGCAUUGAUUACGUCCCUGCCCUUUGUACACACCGCCCGUCGCUCCUACCGAUUGAAUGUUCCGAUGAAUACCAUGGACUGAGAGUAUGAAUGGGUUCGCCUAUUUCUGCUUCUCGGGAAGUGGAGUAAAUCUUAACAUUUAGAGGAAGGAGAAGUCGUAACA